UACGUAGGGUGCAAGCGUUGUCCGGAAUUAUUGGGCGUAAAGAGCUCGUAGGCGGUCUGUUGCGUCGGCUGUGAAACCCGAGGCUCAACCUCGGGCCUGCAGCCGAUACGGGCAGACUAGAGUUCGGCAGGGGAGACUGGAAUUCCUGGUGAUAGCGGUGAAAUGCGCAGAUAGUCAGGAGGAACACCGGUGGCGAAGGCGGGUCUCUGGGCCGAUACUGACGCUGAGGGCGACGACAG
rnacentral:rRNA from 1 species